GGUCUUUUCACCACACCCUAACAAGGGUAUGUCCUUUCCCGCUGAUCUAUCCCUGUUGAGAGUGACCGUAAUCCCCUGGCUGGGGUUUGUGUAACAGUUCGUCCUCUAUGAAGUUACCCUUCCCCUGGCUUGCCAUACUGUACUCCUUGGAAGGAGGUCACCAUGUGCAGCCCACACUUCAGGUGUGCGCCUCCUUCCUGAGGAUGGAACGCCUACGUACAUUAUUUUGAAAUUCUUCCGCCCAGCUUUAUCUUUUCUUUUGCACUUAUUUAUUUACUCAUUUGUUUACAUUAGCAUGGACCAAAGGAUAUUUACUACGCACUUUGGGUUAUCAUCCAAUAGCACUUUGUUUCAUUUGGUGCUCAAAUCGUUCUUGCUUUGGCUGUUUGUUUUUUCAGUAGGACUGAAAUGUCCUUUUGGCAAAACCCCAUCAAGCUUCAACGAAACCGCUCUCUGUAAGCGUCAGUGCUCAGAUGGCCCAGGAGAGACAACACGGUGGAUCAUCAGGAUGGAAACGUCAAAGGCCCCAGAGUCUUGCUGUUGGCUGUAGAAACAUUCCCAGGACCCCAGGACCCCAGGACCCCCACAGCACUGCCUACCUCUAAGAAGACCUGGGAAACUCCUAAGACACAGAAUCAUCCAAGAAAAGGAAAAAGGAGAAAAUCAAAGGGGGCUGGAUAACAUACAAGAUGAGACACCUACCAUCAGAAAAUAAAUAUAUCUCAUGCACUGA